rnacentral:lncRNA from 10 species
GGAAAACACAUUAAUUCAGUGAGGCUGUAUUAUUAUAAUAUUAAACAAAUUUUGAGCCAAUAAGUCAUUUUAUAAUCACAAAAUUUAACAUGUCAGACACAGUGAAAAAUUUUAAUGACUUAGAAAUAUGAAUAAAGGACAAUUCAAGAAUUCCUUCUGCAAAGGUGUACAAUUUGCAAAUACAUUUCUCUAGGUCAGUGGUCUUGUAACUUUCUGGUCUCAGGACUCCUUCACACUCUUAAAAAUUAUUGAAGAUUCUAAAAACCUUUUGUUUAUAACUAUGUAUUUCAAUGUUUACCAUAUUAGAAGUUAAAACCAAAAAUUUCAAAAAAUAUUUAAUUCAUUAAAAAUAAUAAACCCAUUAUGUGUUUAACAUAAAUAGCACUUUUAUAAAAAGUAACCAAAUUUUUUUUAAGCCAUAACAAAAAACAUUUAGUAGAAGAAUGGCAAUGUUUUACAUUUGCAAAUCUCUAACAUAGCGUACUAGAAGACAGCAGGAUUUUCAUAUCUAUUUCUGCAUACAAUCUGUUGUGACACAUUAUUUCAAAGUAUACGAAAAAUCUAGCUUUUCUGUGUAAUUUUUUUAUUGAGAUAAAACUCACAUACCAUAAAAUUCACUCAUUAAAAGUGUAGUUACUAGUCAAUGGUUUUCAAUAUUGGUUGUGCAGUCAUCACCAGUAUCAAAUUCUAGAACAUUUCAUUACCACAAGAAGAAAACCUAUGAUUUUUUUGGAAGGUGGAUACCUAAAUACCCAGUAAAGUCACUCUCCAUUCCUUUCCUCUCCCCAGUGCCUGACAACCACUAAUCUACUUUGUCUCUAUGGAUUUGCCUAUUCUGGACUUUCCAUAUAAAUAGAGUGACUAUCCUUUUAUGAUACUAUACUAAAAUUCAACAAAUGAUAGUUUCUUAAGGGUUAGUUGCAAUGUAGAAUCUGCAACCAUAUCCAUUUUGUAUUUAAAUUAAAAUUGGUUACUAUUAUUUGAUUUUUUUAUCAGUGACUAUAUUUAUCAAGUUGACUUUGAGGCAUAGUUUAUAUACGAAACUCCUAUUUUAAAUGUUCUUUUGGUGAGAUUUUGUGUAGUUAUUCACCCUUCUAACCAUCGGCACAAUCAAGAUACAGUACCUUUUCAUCGUCUUAAGAAGUUUCUUUGUCCCCCAUUUCCAUCAACCCUUACUAUGCCUCACUCCCAGGAAACCUGUGAUCUCCUUUUUGUCUCUAUAGACAUGUCUUUUCUAGAAUAUUAAAUAAAUGGAAUCAUAUAUUGUCUUUUGUGCCUAGUUUUUUGCUUAUAUUUCUGAGAUGCACCCAUGCUGUUGCACGCAUAACUAUUUCUUUUUAUUCCUGAGUAGCAUUCCACUGUAUGGUCAUACCACAGUUUGUUUAUACAUUCACCUGCUGAUGGACAUUUGGGUUGUUUCCAGUUUGGGGCUAUUACAAAUAAAGCCGCUAUGAACAUUCAUGAACCAGUUUUUGCAUGGACAUGUUUUCAUUUCUUCUGGGUAAAAACCUAGGAGUAGAAUUGCUGGGCAAUAUGGUUAGUUUAUGUUUAUUGUUAUAAAGAACUGCCAAACUGGCCAGGCAUGGUGGCUCACCAGAACUGUUUCUUAUUCAUCUUUGAAUCCCUGCUGCCAAGCAUGGUACCUGACAAUACAGUUGGCAUUGAUGAAGUGUAGGUUGAAUGAUUCAAAUGACUCAAACAAACAUAUCUUCCACCUAAACAAGAAGCUUUAUCCUUUGGAGUACAUGGAGAAUUCUGUGAAUUCAUUUUCACUUACAUAAUCAGUCUACUUUGUAUUUUGUCUCUUAAUUUCUAAUGUUAAAUCUCUUGAAACUGUUGUAAAACUUUGUGAUCAUGAAUUAAGUCCCACAACUUAAAAAAAUUAACAAAUUAGUAAUGAUGAACUGUACAACUUCAAAUUUGAAGUGGUCAUGCAAAUUUCA